AAGAACCGAAUCGAUGCCUGAAG
rnacentral:siRNA from 1 species